rnacentral:rRNA from 1 species
CAGCCGCCACGGUAAUACGGAGGAUCCAAGCGUUAUCCGGAAUCAUUGGGUUUAAAGGGUCCGUAGGCGGUCUUGUAAGUCAGUGGUGAAAGCCCAUCGCUCAACGGUGGAACGGCCAUUGAUACUGCAGGACUUGAAUUAUUGGGAAGUAACUAGAAUAUGUAGUGUAGCGGUGAAAUGCUUAGAGAUUACAUGGAAUACCAAUUGCGAAGGCAGGUUACUACCAAUUGAUUGACGCUGAUGGACGAAAGCGUGGGUAGCGAACAGGAUUAGAUACCCCGGUAGUCCCUGUCUCUUAUAC